AUUGAACGCUGGCGGCAGGCCUAACACAUGCAAGUCGAGCGGAGCGGCGGACGGGUGAGUAAUGCCUAGGAAUCUGCCUGGUAGUGGGGGAUAACGUCCGGAAACGGGCGCUAAUACCGCAUACUAUCAGAUGAGCCUAUGUCGGAUUAGCUAGUUGGUGGGGUAAAGGCCUACCAAGGCGACGAUCCGUAACUGGUGUGAGAGGAUGAUCAGUCAACCUGGAACGUAGACACGGUCCAGACGCCUACGGGAGGCAGCAGUGGGGAAUUGUGGACAAUGGGCGAAAGCCUGAUCCAGCCAUGUCGCGUGUCUGAAGAAGGGCUUCGGAUUGUAAAGUACUUUAAGUUGGGAGGCGUUACCAACAGAAUAAGCACCGGCUAACUUCGUGCCAGCAGCCGCGGUAAUAC
rnacentral:rRNA from 1 species